rnacentral:rRNA from 1 species
AGAUUGAACGCUGGCGGCAUGCCUAACACAUGCAAGUCGAACGGGAGUAGCAAUACUCUAGUGGCGGACGGGUGAGGAAUACGUAGGAAUUUGCCCUUAAGUGGGGGAUAACCCGGGGAAACCCGGAUUAAUACCGCAUGACCUCGAAAGAGCAAAGUGGGGAUCGCAAGACCUCACGCUUUUGGAGAAGCCUACGUCGGAUUAGCUAGUUGGUGAGGUAAUGGCUCACCAAGGCGACGAUCCGUAACUGGUCUGAGAGGAUGAUCAGUCACACCGGAACUGAGACACCGGUCCGGACUCCGUACGGGA